GAUGAAGAACGUAGUGAAAUGCGAUAAGUAAUGUGAAUUGCAGAAUUCAGUGAAUCAUCGAAUCUUUGAACGCACAUUGCGCCCUCUGGUAUUCCGGGGGGCAUGCCUGUUCGAGCGUCAUUAUAACCACUCAAGCUCUCGCUUGGUAUUGGGGUUCGCGGUUCCGCGGCCCCUAAAAUCAGUGGCGGUGCCUGUCGGCUCUACGCGUAGUAAUACUCCUCGCGAUUGAGUCCGGCAGGUCUACUUGCCAGCAACCCCCAAUUUUUACAGGUUGACCUCGGAUCAGGUAGGGAUACCCGCUGAACUUAAGCAUAUCAAUAAGCGGAGGA
rnacentral:misc_RNA from 1 species